GGGGAUGUGGCUGAGUGGUUAAGCACCUGCCUAGCAAGCAAGGGCCCUGGGUUCAACCUCCAACACUACCC
rnacentral:tRNA from 1 species